UUUUUUUUUUUUUAAUAGCUGAAUGAACUGGGAUUUCUUGGAGAAGUGGUAGAGCCAAGCUCUGGAACCGGAAAUACGCAAGGUGAGGCUGGAACACGUUGUCAAAUCAGAAAACAAGAGGCUUCGGGCAUGUGGGCAUGUCCAAAGGACUAAAGAACCAACCUGAAUAAGCUCCCUCUGGCCAAAGAUGGACUUAAUGAGCAUCAUCAUGGUAAUAAUUGUAAUGGAUUAGGGCCAGGUGCAGUGGCUCAUGCCUGUAAUCCUAGAACUCUGGGAGGCAAGGCAGAAGGAUCACUUGAGCCCAGGAGUUUGAGACCACCCUGGGCAAAAUAGUGAGACCUCAUCUCUACAAAAACCUUAACAAUUUAGCUGGCUUGGGCCGGCUGUGGUGGCUCAAGUCUGUAAUCACAGCGCUUCGGGAGGCCGAAGCAGGUGGAUCACCUGAGGUCAGGAGUUGGAGACCAGCCUGGCCAAAAUGGUGAAAUCCCGUUUUUACUAAAAAUACAAAAAUCAGCUGGGCAUGGUGGCGGAUGCCUAUAAUCCCAGCUACUCGGGAGGCUGAGGCAGGAGAAUCGCAUGAACCUGGGAGGUGGAGUUUGCAGUGAGCCGAGAUCAUGCCACUGCACUCCAGCCUGGGUGCAACAAGAGUGAAACUCCGUCUCAAAAAAAAAAAAAAAAAAAAAAAAAAAAAGAACUGGCUUGAUGUGCAUUCCUGCUCCCAGCUACUCAGGAGGCUGAGGUGGGAGGAUGGCUUGAGCUUGAGAGGUUGAGGCUUCAGUGAGCCAUGAUCGCAGCACUGUACUCCAGCCUGGGCAUGAGAGCAGGAUUUUGACUCAAUAAUAAUAAUAAUAAUAAUAAUAAAUAAAAUGUAAUGGGUUGAAACCUGUCAAACACAUUUAAAUGCUUGAGUUCAUUUUAAUAUUUUUCAUUAUCUUGAAAACUGGAUAAACAAGGAGAAGGAAUCAAGCAUUUAUCUUGACUGUCCUAUAUGAACUGGAUAGCCAGACAGUAGAUGAGGGCAAGUUAUUCUUUUUUUUUUUUUUUUUUGAGACGGAGUCUCGCUCUGUCGCCCAGGCUGGAGUGCAGUGGCGGGAUCUCGGCUCACUGCAAGCUCCGCCUCCCGGGUUCACGCCAUUCUCCUGCCUCAGCCUCCCAAGUAGCUAGGACUACAGGCGCCCGCCACUACGCCCGGCUAUUUUUUGUAGUUUUAGUAGAGACGGGGUUUCACCGUUUUAGCCGGGAUGGUCUCGAUCUGCUGACCUCGUGAUCCGCCCGCCUCAGCCUCCCAAAGUGCUGGGAUUACAGGCGUGAGCCACCGCGCCCGGCCGAGGGCAAGUUAUUCUUUAUAAACUUAUUCCAUCAAUUUAAUUAAAAGAGAGGCAGCCAGACAUUAUGAGUCUCCUGGUUAACACACCAGCACCUAUAGUUUUGCCAAACGGAUUGACCCUGAAUUUGAUCAUGCCUCUGGAUCCAGCUGCCAAUUUGCGGAAAUAGAGGACAGAGGAACUUACUGAACUGCAUCAUGAGUAUGCAGUCAUCCAAAUCUGGACUGUGGGAAACUUGACAGGUCAAACAGCCCAGAUUCUUCUACAGAUAAGUUGUAAGAAAAAGAAAGGGACAGAAGAGGAAACUUCAGAUUAGAAGAAAUCUUAUACCCAAUGAUGUUGAGGUGAGAAGAAGAGGAGUAGGAGGACUGGGAGGAGGUGGAGGACAAGAAGGAUAAGGAAGAAGAAGAACCUUAAAAUGAAUCAGAUUUUUGGCCAGGCAUGGUGGCUCAUGCCUGUAAUUCCAGCAUUUUGGAAGACUGAGGUGGGCAGAUCGCUUGAGGUCAGGAGUUCAAGAGCAACCCGGCCAACAUGGUGAAACCCCAUCUCUACUAAAAAUACAAAGAUUAGCCGGGCAUGGUGAUGUGCACCUGUAAUCCCAGCUACUCGGGAGGCUGAGGCAGGAGAAUCGCUUGAAUGCAGGAGGUGGAGGUUGCAGUGAGCCGAGAUUGUGCCACUGCACUCCAGCCUGGGCAACAGAGUGAGGCUCCGUCUCAAAAAAAAAAAAAGUAUCGGAAUUUUUAAAAUAAGCAAGACUAAACUAUAGUGUAUAGAAAUGCACAUGGGAGAUAAAACCAUAAAGAAACAAGGAGUGAUUAUUGAAAGUGUCAGGUUAGUAACAGUCACUUUUGGAGUGGGGCCGGGGUGGGGCUGUGAUUGGGAUGAUGCACACAGAGGGACUUCUGGGUGGGGAGGGCCUGGCAAAGUUCUAUUUCUUGACCAGGGGUUUGGGGUGUUCAUCUUGUAACUCAUCAAGCUUGUGGUAAGGGACAGGUAAGUCUGGAGGCAGAGAAGACAGAGACUGGGUGACAUGAGGGUUGGGGAAAAUGGAGCAAAACAGAGAUCAAGUGCCUUCUAGCUAGGGAUGGCCACAUGACUAUGUUCUGGCCAAUGGGAUAGGAGCACAAGAAGCAAUGCAGCUUCCUCAUCAUACUUUUCUUUUUUUUUCCUUUUUUUUUUUUGUUUUUUGAGACAGAGUCUUGCUCUGUUGCCCAGGCUGGACUGCAAUGGGGUGAUCUCAGCUCCCUGCAACCUCCACCUCCUGGGUUCAAGUGAUUCUCCCACCUCAGCAUCCUGAGUAGCUGGGAUUACAGGUGCUUGCCACCAUGCCCAGUUAAUUUUUGUAUUUUUAGUAAAGACGAGGUUUCACCAUGUUGGCCGGGCUAGUCUCGAACUCCUGACCUCAGGUGAUCCACCCACCUCGGCCUCCCAAAAUGCGAUUACAGGCAUGAGCCAUUGUGCCCUACCUGUUUUACCUGGUUUUCUAUAUCAGUGUUUUGUUUUACAAUAAAAAUGGAGGUUUUUGUUGUUUUGUUUUUAUUGUAUAUAUUUAAAGUAUACAACAUGAUAUCUUGAUAUACAUAUACAUACAGAAAUGACUACUAGGGUCAGGCAAAUUAACAUAUCCAUCACCUCACAUAGUUCUGUGCGUGUGUGUAUCUAAAAGAGCACCUAAAAUGCUCUCUUAUCAAAUUUCCAGCAUGCAAUACAACAUUACUAACUGUAGUCCUCUGUACAUUGAGAUGUCUAAACUUACUUGCAUGGAUGAACCUAGGAGGCAUUAUGCUAAGUGAAAUAAGCCAGACACAGAGAGAAAAACACUGCAUGAUCUCAUUUAUACAUGGAUUUUUUUUUAAGCUAAAUAUAAAGAAACAGAGUGUAAAACAGUGGUUACCAGGGGCAGGGCAUGGUGGGGAAGAAUGAGGAGAUAGAGGUCAACAGUACCAUAAAAAGUUUUAAACAAAAGUAUCCAUCAAGAAACAAAAAACAACCAAGAAACAACUAAAAUAAUUCUUUCUCUUUCUAGCCAUUGUAACUACAAAACACAAAGUGAUUUUUUACUGGCUUUUCCUGUUUCUUCCCUUUGACAUUGGUGCUCCCCAAGAUGAGAUCUUUGGCUCUCUUUUCUUGUUUCUUCUUGUUUCUCUUUUUCACCAUGGAGUUGUCAUCCACCCCCAAGAUUUUAACCACCCCUGAAAUCUGUGUCAUUGCUCCUCUGCUGAGUUCCUGAUCCACACUGUCCACUGUUUCUAGACAUAUCCCCAUGGAUAUCUCUCAGUCAGCUUAAAGUUAAUGCAGCCUAAUAGCAAAAAUAAUAAAUCAAGGUUUCUCAAGUGCCUACACUGUGCCAAGUACUAUUCCAGGUACGUCUCACAUAUUAUCUUAGUCUUCACCACACAUAAUGUGCCAUCAUUAGCCCAGUUUUACAGAUAUCAAACUGACACACAGAAAGGUCAAGUAGUAGCUCACCCUUAUCUUAGCUUGUUUUCUGAAUUCCCAUAUCUUCAGGGAUCUCCAGCUCCAUGAAUGGUAUCUCCAUCUCUUCAGGUGACUGAGUUGGAAAUCUUGGCUUCACUCCACCAAUGACCUGAGUCAUUCUUAGAAAGUCUGAAGAAGGAGCAUGCAGCUCUGAGGGUGGCAGCAGGUCCAGGAAUUGGAAUGUGACCACAGGGGAAUUCUUCAUAAAGGGCUGAACUUUACUGGAUGAGUUUCCCCUGGAAUACCAGGAAGUCAUAUGAAAUCACAGUUUAGGAAGUGCAUUCAACAGUAUAUGGCAGACAUCAUUUCGUGUUAAUAAAUAUAUCCAGCCCUGAACCC
rnacentral:lncRNA from 10 species